rnacentral:lncRNA from 10 species
GAAACGUUUGUCAAAGCCAUUGGGGAAUACUCAGCUAAAAUUCAGCCGAGAGGAGGCUUGUGAACCCUCAGGAAUGGAACUAUAUUAGUAUUGCUGCCUGGCUCAGUGGUUGGCUGAGACGCACAUAUGGGAAGCAAGGGCAAAUGCAUGAUGGACUCAGAUGCAGAAGUUGAUCUCUAGUCGCUUAGGUUCCCCGAAUUUGGAGGUUCGCCUUAUGCAUUCUCAUGUCCAUCACAUAAAGAAAGGGACAGUCUGCAACAGCAGGAUUGCUUUCUAAAGAACGUUUUCUUUGGGGAGUACUCUGAAACCUUUCUUCAAAUGAUGACGUACUCUGAAGUUCAGGAGAUAAUUCUGAAGUAGACUUUGAUUUUAUGCGGGAGAAUGUACUCUAUUCCCAUCAUCACAGCUUGUCCCUUGGCUUACAUAAAUAUUUUGCUCACGAUUCAAGGAAGUUGUCUAAAGCAACUUAAAUGCUAGGCCAAAAUAACCUGUUUGUCUCUCAUUAAAAAGUUUUUGUUUUAGAAGUUUUAUGGGUUGAAUUGUAUCUCAUAAAAUGAUAUAUUACAGUCCUAAUACUCAGUACCUCCAAAUGUGAUAUUAUUUGUAAACAAAGUCUUUAUGGAGGUUAUCAAGUUAACAUGAAGUCAUUAGAGUGAGGACUAAUCCAAUAUGGCUGAGAUCCUUAUCAAAAGGAGAAAUUCAGUCACAGGGACAGACAGGUACAGAGAGAAGAUGAUGUCAAGAGACAACGGGAGAAUGCCACAUGAAGGUGGAGGAUUGGAGUAAUGCAUCUACAAGCCAAGAUAAGAAACCUGAAGUUCAGAGACAUCAAACAAGUCACCUGAAAUCACAUUGUUAGAGGAUAUGAUCUGAGAGGUUGGCAUUUCUUCCUUGGUCCUUGAGAUAAAAGGAUUCUCAACCAGAAAACUAAAGGAUAAGCAAGAAAAGAGAUCUUUGGGCAUCUGUGACAAGAUUCUUUACCCAUCUUUGGAAACUUAUAAAGAAAAUAUUAGAACAAAGAAGAAUGAGGAAGGCACAAAACAGUUCCAGAACUUCUAAGCAACCAAAAGUAACUGAAAAGUCAACUGAAAAUAGUAGUAGCUAUUUUUUCUCAUAUUGUAAGAAUCCAGUUAGCUCAGACCAAAGGAAACUCCUUUUAAAUUUAGAGCCCACAGUUGAAACCUGUGAGGUCAACCAACUGAAAGUAAAUACAUGAUUAAAUAAGAAUUUCCACAGUUGGAAUUGUGUGCAAAGAUGAAUUUGACAUAGUACCUUUCAAAAGGGCCUUUAAGACAGAAAAGCAACACAAACUCUCCUUACAGGGUUGAUGACAGUUAGACAGAAACUGUAUGAAACUCAGCACAAUGAGAAAAGUUCAUUAAAGGAAAAUCGAGAAAAUGAUUAGUGUUGACUGUGAGCCUUGAAUAAUGGGCAGAAUUAUAUCCAGUGGAAAUAGUAGAAAGAGAUAGAAGAGGUUUUUUAAAAAAUAAAGGCACACAGCUUGAAACGCCUUGUACGCAGACCAGCCUCUUCCUCAGCACCCCAGGGAGCCUCCUGAUACCCCUAGCCAUGCUUUUGGAUCUAAUAUCCCUAAAUGGAUAUUCCAGUAACAUUGAUUGAGCUUGAUUUAACUUGUUUCCAAAGAAAACAUGAGAAAUUUCCUUAGGCCAGCUGACUAAACAAGAAAAUGUUUCUUCUACUGAAUAUUUAAGGCCACAGGAAGGUAGAAGAGUACUAAGGUCUGAGUUGCCAAUAUGCUAUUGAUACAUGUUUCAAGGAUCAAGGCAUAGAAAGAAGGGCCACAACUCUGCUGGGAAUGUAGCCUGAGCAAAUAAUUAAAUAGAUCAAAAUUAUUCUAAGUGGGAAAAUUCGGAGUGACAAAAUAAAGAGGUUCACUGAAACAAAGGAAACUAUGUCACUGAAACA